rnacentral:lncRNA from 1 species
CAAAAGGAUGUUUAAGGUAGUAAAAUCAAGCGGUUCCUUCAUUAUCGAUUUGCUUGAGUGAUUAUAUAUAAAUGAAGUGACAUAAAAUAAUCACUUAGUUUCAAAAUGGCUUUACCUAGCUACCAUCAGUUAUGUUGAAGAUAAUUCUUUUGUUGAUGUUUUGCCAUGAACUUUAAGCUCUCUCCAAUUAUUUGCUUUCUAAUCCCUCAUCAAUAUUUUGACAAUAUGCAGAAAAAUCCUGUCACCAGGGUAAAGUUGACAUUUUUAUCAAACCCUUUUAAACUUUUUCAUUCCAACCUUUAAAUACAUUCAGUAAUCAGUGAAAACAAUUGAAACAAGAG